rnacentral:rRNA from 1 species
UACAGAGGUCUCAAGCGUUGUUCGGAAUCAUUGGGCGUAAAGCGCGUGUAGGCGGCUUGGUAAGUCGGGUGUGAAAUCCCGGGGCCCAACCCCGGAACUGCAUUCGAAACUGCCUCGCUAGAGUCCCGGAGAGGAAGGCGGAAUUCCCGGUGUAGAGGUGAAAUUCGUAGAUAUCGGGAGGAACACCAGCGGCGAAGGCGGCCUUCUGGACGGUGACUGACGCUGAGACGCGAAAGCGUGGGGAGCAAACAGG